AGGUGGAGUAGAGAUGGCCGACUGAGAUCAAGAGGAAUAUUCUGGAAGAAGAGACUGAGGAUGGAGGAGGAAGAAGAGAUGGGGAUUGAACCUAAUUUUAAGCAUUUUUGCCCAAGGGAGACAGCAUCUGGAGAUCUGCAGAGGAAGGAGCUGACAGCUAAACACAAAAUGGACCUGACACUGGAGAGUCCUGCCUUACAAUAAGACAACGCUGUCCUCAGGAGCUCACCACCUCCUAUAUUGGUUUUCUGUGUGGCAAGAUUGUGAACCUGCAUUUGGUAACAGAGCAAGUGGUGGAAAUGUCACUGUUUGAUGUACACUGAAGAUAUCAAUAGGGUUUUUGGACAGUGUGAAGUGUGAGAAAAAGAGAAGAAUGAAUGACGGCUCCAAACCCUUAAGCCUGAGCAUCCGGAAAGAUGGAACGGCCACCUGUGGGGAUGGGGAAGGAUACAGAUGGAGCAGGUUUAGGGGAAACCCGAGGAGUUCCGUUUGGAUGCUGUAUAUGUUACCCAUUGGUAUGUUAAAAAACAAACAAACAAACAAACAUGAUUUAGUGAUUUAGUACAAUGACCAUUUAUUAUCUCACAGUUUCUGUGGGCCAGUAAGUAAAG